rnacentral:rRNA from 1 species
GACGAACGCUGGCGGCGCGCUUAACACAUGCAAGUCGAACGGAAAGGCCCUGCUUUUGUGGGGUGCUCGAGUGGCGAACGGGUGAGUAACACGUGAGUAACCUGCCCUUGACUUUGGGAUAACUUCAGGAAACUGGGGCUAAUACCGGAUAGGAGCUCCUGCUGCAUGGUGGGGGUUGGAAAGUUUCGGCGGUUGGGGAUGGACUCGCGGCUUAUCAGCUUGUUGGUGGGGUAGUGGCUUACCAAGGCUUUGACGGGUAGCCGGCCUGAGAGGGUGACCGGCCACAUUGGGACUGAGAUACGGCCCAGACGCCUACGGGAGGCAGCAGUGGGGAAUAUUGCACAAUGGGCGGAAGCCUGAUGCAGCAACGCCGCGUGCGGGAUGACGGCCUUCGGGUUGUAAACCGCUUUCGCCUGUGACGAAGCGUGAGUGACGGUAAUGGGUAAAGAAGCACCGGCUAACUACGUG